CUACGGGGUGCUGCAGUGGGGAAUAUUGCGCAAUGGGCGAAAGCCUGACGCAGCGACGCCGCGUGAGGGAAGAAGGUCUUCGGAUCGUAAACCUCUGUCGGGAGGGAAGAAUGGCUUAGAGUCGAAUAGGCUCUGAGAUUGACGGUACCUCCAAAGGAAGCACCGGCUAACUCCGUGCCAGCAGCCGCGGUAAUGCGGAGGGUGCAAGCGUUAUUCGGAAUUACUGGGCGUAAAGGGCGUGUAGGCGGCUUUGCAAGUCAGGUGUGAAAGCCCACGGCUUAACCGUGGAACUGCACUUGAAACUGCAUGGCUCAGAGUGUGGGAGAGGAUAGCGGAAUUCCCGGUGUAGGAGUGAAAUCCGUAGAUAUCGGGAGGAACACCAGUGGCGAAGGCGGCUAUCUGGACCAUAACUGACGCUGAGACGCGAAAGCGUGGGGAGCAAACAGGAUUAGAUACCCCAGUAGUC
rnacentral:rRNA from 1 species